ensembl:snoRNA Gm23547 predicted gene, 23547
CCGACUGAUGAGACUAAGGCGAAUGCGACUCUGCCUACUGACCCUUGGCUUCUAGGGGUGGGGAGGGGUGACUGGUGAGAUCUGAAAUCUUGGUGGGGGUACCUGAGGCCUGACUCCCCGCUGUAAGGCCGGAUCAAGAGCACCGCUGGCCUUGCCUUCACGUCUGCUGCCACCAGUUCUUGGCAGCAUCCUACAGGGAGGCCCACAGGGGGUAGCCAAAGUGUGAGUAGCCAUGUGAGCGCAACCUUGAAUCUGACA